rnacentral:rRNA from 1 species
GUAGUCUCGCACAGAUGCAUAUCAAUAAGCGGAGGAAAAGAAACUAACAAGGAUUCCCCUAGUAACGGCGAGUGAAGCGGGAAGAGCUCAAAUUUGAAAUCUUAAAGGGUUUCCCUUUACGAAUUGUAGUUUAAAGAAGUGUUUUCUGUUGAGGUUUUGGUAAAAGUUCUUUGGAAUAGGACAUCAUAGAGGGUGAGAAUCCCGUAUUUGACCUUUACUUUCAACUUUGUGAUACACUUUCAAAGAGUCGGAUUGUUUGGGAAUGCAGUCCAAAAUGGGUGGUAAAUUUCAUCUAAAGCUAAAUAUUGGCGAGAGACCGAUAGCGAACAAGUACCGUGAGGGAAAGAUGAAAAGAACUUUGAAAAGAGAGUUGAACAGUACGUGAAAUUGUCAAAAGGGAAGCGUUUGACACCAGUGUUGUUUUUCUGAAAAUCAAUUAAAGAACUGUUUAUGCUAAGCUGUUUAGACUUUAUCAGCUAAUCUGUUUAGUUUUGAGCUUUUCUUUAAUGCACUUUUCAGUUAACAAGUCAACAUCAAUUUCUUUUGCUGUAAAAAAGCUUGAGGAAGGUGGCUUGAGAUUCGUCUUAAGUGUUUAUAGCCUCUUGCCUAUGCAGUCGGAGAGAUUGAGGUCUGCAGCGUAAAUCCUUCGGGGCUAAAUGCAUUUGUGCUAAGUUAUAGCAUUUUAUAGACAACUUGUUGACUAUGAUUUGUCUUGUAGCUUACUCGCUUAUGUUAUUUUACCUACGCUUAGGAUGUUGAUCUGUAGUGCGUGCGC